rnacentral:rRNA from 1 species
AGUUCGAUUCUGGCUCAGAUUGAACGCUGGCGGGAUGCUUUACACAUGCAAGUCGAACGGCAGCACGGACUUCGGUCUGGUGGCGAGUGGCGAACGGGUGAGUAAUGUAUCGGAACGUGCCUAGUAGCGGUGAUAACUACGGCUGUAGCUAAUACCGCAUACGCCUCUUCUUGGGGAAAGCGGACCUUCCGGGCCUUGCACUAUUAGAGCGGCCGAUAUCGGAUUAGCUAGUUGGUGGGGUAUCCGUUCACCAAGGCGCGACGAUCCGUAGCUGGUUUGAGAGGACGAAUGUCGCCACUGGGACUGGGCACAGACACGGCCCAGACUCCUACGGAGGCAGCAGUGGGGAAUUUUGGAGCGCAAUGGGGAAGUCCCAUCCAGCCAUCCCGCGUGUGCGAUGAAGGCCUUCGUUGUAAAGCACUUUUGGCAGGAAGUUGAAACGGCACGGGAUAAUACUCCCGUGCAACUGACGGUACCUGCAGAAUAAGCACUGGCUAACUACGUGCCAGCAGCCGCGGUAAUAAUGGGGUGCAAGCGUUAAUCGGAAUUACUGGGCGUAAGCGUGCGCAGGCGGUUCGGAAAGAAAGAUGUGAAAUCCCAGAGCUUAACUUUGAACUGCAUUUAACUACCGAGCUAGAGUGUCAGAGGGAGGAAUUCGCGUGUAGCAGUGAAAUGGGUAGAUAUGCGGAGGAACACCGAUGGCGAAGGGGCAGCCUCCGGGAUAACACUGACGCUCAUGCACGAAAGCGUGGAGCAAACAGGAUUAGAGCUACCCCUGGUGUCCACGCCCUAAACGAUGUCAACUAGCUGUUGGGGCUUCUCGGGCCUUGGUAGCGCAGCUAACGCGUGAAGUUGACCGCCUGGGGAGUACGGUCGCAAGAUUAAAACUCAAAGGAAUUGACGGGAACCGCACAAGCGGUGGAUGAUGUGGAUUAAUCGAUGCAACGCGAAAAAACCUUACCUACCCUUGACAUGUCUGAAUCCCAAAAGAGAUUUGGGAGUGCUCGCAAGAGAACCGGAACACAGGUGCUGUAUGGCUGUCGGCCAGUUCGUGUCGAGAUGUUGUUAAGUCCCGCAACGAGCGUGCAACCCUUGUCAUUAGUUGCUACGAAAGGGCACUCUAAUGAGACUGCCGGUGACAAACCGGAGGAAGGUGGGGAUGACGUCAAGUCCUCAUGGCUCCCAGUGGGUAGGGCUUCACACGUCAUACAAUGGUCGGGACAGAGGGUCGCCAACCCGCGAGGGGUGAGCCAAUCCCAGAAACCCGAUCGUAGUCCGGAUCGCAGUCUGCAAUCGACUGCGUGAAGUCGGAAUCGCUAGUAAUCGCGGAUCAGCAUGUCGCGGUGAAUACGUUCCCGGGUCUUGUGCCACACCGCCCGUCACACCAUGGGAGUGGGUUUUACCAGAAGUAGUUAGCCUAACCGUAAGGAGGCGAUUACCACGGUAGGAUUCAUGACUGGGGUAAAGUCGUAACAAGGUAA